rnacentral:tRNA from 2 species
GCGGCCGUGGAGAAAUUGGUAGACUCAGCAGACUUAAAAUCUGCCGCUCAUACGGGCUUACGGGUUCGAGUCCCGUCGGCCGCACCA